CGAGCGUCAUUACAACCCUCAAGCUCUGCUUGGUAUUAGGCCUCACCUGCUAAGGCGGGCCGUAAAAUCAGUGGCGGUGCCAUUUGGCUUCAAGCGUAGUAAACUUUCUCGCUUUAGAAGACCGCAUGUAUGCCUGCCAGCAACCCCAAUAUUUAUUACAGGUUGACCUCGGAUCAGGUAGGGAUACCCGCUGAACUUAA
rnacentral:misc_RNA from 1 species